rnacentral:rRNA from 1 species
UGCCAGCAGCCGCGGUAAGACGGAGGGUCCUAGCGUUGUUCGGAGUGACUGGGCGUAAAGGGUACGUAGGCGGUUUGGCCAGUUAGAUGUGAAAGCCCAGGGCUCAACCUUGGAACUGCAUUUAAUACUGCCAGACUUGAGAUCGGAAGAGGAAAGCGGAAUUUCUAGUGUAGAGGUGAAAUUCGUAGAUAUUAGAAGGAACAUCAGAGGCGAAGGCGGCUUUCUGGUCCGAUACUGACGCUGAGGUACGAAAGCGUGGGGAGCAAACAGGAUUAGAUA